GAUGAACGCUAGCGGCAGGCUUAAUACAUGCAAGUCGAGGGGCAUCAAGGUACACGAAAGUGUAUUGUUGGCGACCGGCGGACGGGUGAGUAAUAGGUAGGUAACCUACCUCAUACUGAGGCAUAGCUGGGAGAAAUUCCAGGUAAUUCCUCAUGAGGUUAUAUGACACAUGUGAUAUAAUCAAAGGUAUCGCAAGGUACUGGUAUGAGAUGGGCUUACUGACCAUUAGCUAGUUGGUGAGAUAAGAGCUCACCAAGGCGAAGAUGGUUAGGGGUUUUGAGAGAGAGAUCCCCCACAUUGGAACUGAGAUACGGUCCAGACUCCUACGGGAGGCAGCAGUAGGGAAUAUUGGGCAAUGGGCGGAAGCCUGACCCAGCCAUGCCGCGUGAAGGAAGAUGGCCUUAUGGGUUGUAAACUUCUUUACUAUGCGACUAACUAGAUUUACGAGAUAAUUCUAUAGAAUGUAGCAUAGCAAAAGCACC
rnacentral:rRNA from 1 species